rnacentral:rRNA from 1 species
GACGUAGGGUGCGAGCGUUGUCCGGAUUUAUUGGGCGUAAAGAGCUCGUAGGCGGCUCGUCGCGUCAGCUGUGAAAACCCGCGGCUUAACCGUGGGCUUGCAGCUGAUACGGGCGGGCUAGAGUUCGGUAGGGGAGACUGGAAUUCCUGGUGUAGCGGUGAAAUGCGCAGAUAUCAGGAGGAACACCGGUGGCGAAGGCGGUUCUCUGGGCCUUACCUGACACUGAGGAGCGAAAGCGUGGGGAGCGAACAGG